rnacentral:rRNA from 1 species
UACGUAGGGGGCAAGCGUUGUCCGGAAUCAUUGGGCGUAAAGCGCGCGUAGGCGGCUCGAUCAGUCUGCUGUGAAAGUCAAAGGCUCAACCUUUGAAUGCCGGUGGAUACUGUCGAGCUAGAGUCCGGAAGAGGCGGGUGGAAUUCCUGGUGUAGCGGUGAAAUGCGCAGAUAUCAGGAAGAACACCCGUGGCGAAGGCGGCUCUCUGGAACGCAACUGACGCUGAGACGCGAAAGCGUGGGGAGCAAACAGG